CCGAUCUUAGCUCAGUUGGAAGAGCGUGGGACUGUAAUCGGCUAAAGUACAUUUGCAUAAGUGUUCGAUCCGCACAGAUCGGA